rnacentral:rRNA from 1 species
GCCUGGCCCUAAAUCUUGAUACUUACCCUACCAAAGUAUCCGCCAGAGAACUACGAGCACAAACGCUUAAAACUCUAAGGACUUGGCGGUGCCCUAAACCCACCUAGAGGAGCCUGUUCUGUAAUCGAUGAUCCACGAUCAACCCAACCGCCCCUUGCCAAGUACAGCCUACAUACCGCCGUCGCCAGCCCACCUCGAAUGAGAGCACAGCAGUGGACGCAACAGCACCCCGCUAACAAGACAGGUCAAGGUAUAGCCCAUGGGGCGGAAGAAAUGGGCUACAUUCCCUAUACAUAGGGCAAUACGGAAAGAAGUAUGAAACUACUUCUAGAAGGAGGAUUUAGCAGUAAAGCGGGACAAUAAAGCCCGCUUUAAACCGGCCCUAGGGCACGU